AAUUCUUUUAAAAAAUGUUUGUGUUAAAUUAUUUAGGUAGUCACAACAAAGAUAUUAUGAAUGUAAUCCAUAAUUAUCAAUUUGGUUUAAAAUUUGGUUUAUUGAGCCCUCUUAAAAUAUUGAAUGCAUCAUUUUAACAAUUUCAAGUACAAAUAUUGGCUAUGACAUUUUAACUAUUUCUACUACAAAUCAUGCCACUAUAAUGGAAAUAGUACAAAAACCCCCAGGAAUGUUCGUUAUAAUAUGGGGAAAAGUAAUAUAUCAGUGCAUCUAUGGAAAUUUGCUCAUCUGCCACAGGAGUAAUAAGAAUCAGGUAGCUUGAAGAAAAUUAGAUAUUAAACUUAACGAAUAUUAUUUAAUAAGCUCUUCCUCUCUAUCUUUUUUCUUUUAUGAAAACCAGUAUAAAGAAAGUCAACCAUUUUCUUCAACCAGAUGCUUAUGAUCUCAUAGUAUUUUGCUAUUGAGGACAUUUAAAAUGCAUAGAAGUAAAUGUAGUCACAGUAGACCUGUGAUUCUCAAAGUAUGGUUUCUAGAUCAACAGGUUUUUUUUUUUUUUAAGCUUAUUUAUUUAUUUCGAGAGAGACAGUGAGCAUGAGCAAGGGAGGGGCAGAGAGAGAGGGAGAGAGAGAGAAUCCCAAGCAGGCACCACACUGUCAGCGUGGAGCUGGAUGCAGGGUUUGAUCUCACGAACCAUAAGAUCAUGACCUAAGCCAAAAUCAGGAGUCAGAUGCUUAACCGACUAAGCCAUCCAGGCUCUCCUCGAGAUCAACAGUAAUAGUAUCACCUGGAAAAUCACACAGGGGUGGACCCCGCUCUAUAUCUAAUGAAUUAGAAUCUCUGGGGUUAGGGUUCUGCAAUCUUUCUUCUAAUAUCCCUUUAGGUAGUUCUGGUACAUCAAAAUUUGAGAACAACCACACCAAUUUGAAGAGUGCCAGGACCAGUGUGAGGCCAGGUGGAGUUUAUGGAAUGGAAGGUCUAUUUUUUCCCCCUAUUGCUAUGAAACAAAUUAUUACAAAUUUAGCAACUUAAAACAAACUUUUUUUUUUUUUCUUUUAUUUCCUAGUGUCCAUGAGUCAUGAGUUCAGGCACUGCAAGGCUGUACUCAAGAUGUCAGCCCAGCCACAUUCCUUUUUGGAGCUUGGGAUUCUCUAUCAAGUUCACAUGGCAUAUAUCCUGAUAAUACCAUAAAAAGAUUCAGUGAACUUCCUGUACAUCUGAUCACACAGUAUGUGUUCCCUUGUGCCUAAUUUCUUUUGCUCACCAUUAUGGUUGUGAGAUUCAUCCCUGUGACUAUGUGUAGAAGUAUUCUCUUCACUUUCAUUGCUUUGUUUUAUAGUAUUCCAUUGUAUGAAUAUACCAUAAUUUAUUUAACUGUUUUUGCUAUUGUACAGAUCCUCUGAGGUGGAAAUAAUCAUUCCUACAAGGAAUUUUGUAGUGUUAUUUUUUCUUGUACAGUUCUUUUGACCCUUAAAGUUUUCUACUUUAUAUAAAUAACUUAUUUUUAUUAUCCUAUUAUAUAUUAAGUCCCUAAUAAUAGUUAAAACUUAUUGUGUUUAGCAUUGUGUAAAUGUUUUAUAUGCAUUAUUAAUUAAUUAAUUCAUUCGACAAAUAUUUUUUUAAUUUUAUUUUUUUAAUUUGCAUGCAAAUUAGUUAGCAUAUAGUGCAACAAUGAUUUCAGAAGUAGAUUCCUUAAUGCCCCUUACCCAUUUAGCCCAUCUACCCUCCCACAACCCUUCUAGUAACCCCCUCUGUUUGUUCUCCACAUUUGAGUCUCUUAUGUUUUGUCCCCCUCCCUAUUUUUAUAUUAUUUUUGCUUCCCUUCCCUUAUGUUAAUCUGUUCUGUGUCUUAAAGCCCUCAUACGAAUGAAAUCAUAUGGUAUUUGUCUUUCUCUGACUAAUUUCACUUACCAUAAUAUGCUCUAGUUCCAUCCAUGUAAUUGCAAAUGGCAAGAUUUCAUUCUUUUUGAUUUCUGAAUAAUACUCUAUUGUAUAUGUAUACCACAUCUUCUUUAUCCAUUCAUCCAUCCAUGGACAUUGGGGCUCUUGCCAUACUUUGGCUAUUGUUGAUAGUGCUGCUAUAAACAUUGGGGUACACGUGCCCCUUUGAAACAGCACACCUCCAUCAUUUGGAUAAAUACCUAGUAGUGCAAUUGCUGGGUGGUAGGAUAGUUCUAUUUUUAAUUUUUUGAGGAACCUCCAUACUGUUUUCCAGAGUGGCUGCACCAGCUUGCAUUCCCACCAGCAAUGCAAAAGAGAUCCUCUUUCUCUGCAUCCUGGCCAACAUUUGUUGUUGCCUGAGUUGUUAAUGUUAGUCAUUCUGACAGGUGUAAGGUGGUAUCUCAUUGUGGUUUAGAUUUGUAUUUCCCUGAUGAUGAGUGAUGUUGAGCAUUUUUUCAUGUGUCAGUUGGCUAUCUGGAUGUCUUCUUUGGAGAAGUGUCUAUUCAUGUCUUUUGCCCAUUUCUUCACUGGAUUCUUUGUUUUUUGGGUGUUGAGUUUGAUCAGUUCUUUAUAGAUUUUGGAUACUAACCCUUUAUCUGGUAUGUCUUCUCCCAUUCUGUCGGUUGCCUUUUAGUUUUGCUGAUUGUUCCCUUUGCUGUGCAGAAGCUUUUUAUUUUGAUGAGGUCCCAGUAGUUCAUUUUUGCUUUUGUUUCCCUUGCCUCUGGAAAUGUGUUGAGUAAGAAGUUGCUGCGGCCAAGAUCAAAGAGGUUUUUGCCUGCUUUCUCCUUGAGGAUUUUGAUGGCUUCCUUUCUUACAUUGAGGUCUUUCAUCCAUUUUGAGUUUAUUUUUGUGUAUGGUGUAAGAAAGUGGUCCAGGUUCAUUCUUCUGCAUGUCGCUGUCCAGUUUUCCCAGCACCACUUGCUGAAGAGACUGUCUUUAUUCCAUUGGAUAUUCUUUCCUGCUUUGUCAAAGAUUAGGUGGCCAUACGUUUGUGGGUCCAUUUCUUGGUUCUCUAUUCUGUUCCAUUGAUCUGAGUGUCUGUUCUUGUGCCAGUACCAUACUGUCUUGAUGAUUACAGCUUUGUAGUAUAGCUUGAAGUCUGGGAUUGUGAUGCCUCCUGCUUUGGUUUCCUUUUUCAAGAUUGCUUUGGCUAUUCGGGGUCUUUUCUGGUUCCAUACAUAUUUUAGGAUUAUUUGUUCUAGCUUUGUGAGGAAUGCUGGUGUUAUUUUGAUAGGGAUUGCAUUGAAUAUGUAGAUUGCUUUGGGUAGUAUUGAAAUUUUCAUAAUAUUUGUUCUUCUUAUCCAGGAACAUGGAAUCUUUUUCCAUUUUUUUGUGUCUUCUUCAAUUUCUUUCAUAGGCUUUCUAUAGUUGUCAGUGUAUAGAUUUUUCACCUCUUUGCUUAGAUUUAUUCCUAGGUAUUUUAUGGUUUUUGAUGCAAUGGUAAAUGGGAUCGAUUCCUUGAUUUCUCUUUCUGUUGCUUCAUUGUUGGUGUAUAGGAAUGCAACUGAUUUCUGUGCAUUGAUUUUGUAUCCUGCAACUUUGCUGAAUUCAUGAAUCAGUUCUAGCAGUUUUUUGGUGCAAUCUUUUGGGUUUUCCAUAUAGAGUAUCAUGUCAUCUAUGAAGAGUGAAAGUUUGACCUCCUCCUGGCCGAUUUGGAUGCCUUUUAUUUCUUUGUGUUGUCUGAUUGCAGAGGCUAAGACUUCCAAUAUUAUGUUGAAUAACAGUGGCGAGAGUGGAUAUCCCUGUCUUGUUCCUGAUAUUGGGGGGAAAGCUCUCAGUUUUUCCCCGUUGAGUAUGAUAUUAGCAUUGGGUCUUUCAUAUAUGGCUUUUAUGAUCUUGAGGUAUCAUCCUUCUAUCCCUACUUUGUUGAGGGUUUUUAUCAAGAAAGGAUGCUGUAUUUUGUCAAAUGCUUUCUCCGCAUCUAUUGAGAGGAUCAUAUGGUUCUUGUCCUUUCUUUUAUUGAUGUGAUGCGUCACAUUGAUUGUUUUUCGGAUAUUGAACCAGCCUUGCUUGCCAGGUAUAAAUCCCAGUUGGUCAUUGAGAUAAUUUUUUUAAUGUAUGUUGGAUCUAUUUGGAUAAUAUCUUGUUGAGGAUUUUUGCAUCCGUGUUCAUCAGGGAAAUUGGUCUAUAGUUCUCCUUUUUUAGUGGGGUCUGUGUCUGGUUUUGGAGUCAAGGAAAUGCUGGCUUCAUAGAAAGAGUUUGGAAGUUUUCCUUCCAUUUCUAUUUUUUGGAACAGCUUCAAGAGAAUAGGUGUUAACUUUUCCUUAAAUGUUUGGUAGAAUUCCCCUGGAAAGCCAUCUGGCCCUGGACUCUUGUUUUUGGGGAUAUUUUUUAUUAUGAAUUCGAUUUCUUUACUGGUUAUGGGUCUGUUCAAAUUUUCUAUUUCUUCCUGUUUCAGUUUUGGUAGUGUAUGUUUCUAGGAAUUUAUCCAUUUCUUCCAGAUUUCCCAUUUUGUUGGCAUAUAAUUGCUCAUAAUAUUCUCCUAUUAUUUCUUUUUAUUUAUGCUGUUUUGGUUGUGAUCUCUCUUCUUUCAUUCUUUUUUUUUUUUCAAUAUAUGAAAUUUAUUGUCAAAUUGGUUUCCAUACAACACCCAGUGCUUAUCCCAAAAGGUGCCCUCCUCAAUGCCCAUCACCCACUCUCCCCUCCCUCCCACCCUCUUCUUUCAUUCUUGAUUUUAUUUAUUUGGGUCCUUUUCUUUUUCUUUUUGAUCAAAUUAGCUAGUGGCUUAUCAAUUUUGUUAAUUCUUUCAAAGAAACACCUUCUGGUUUCAUUGAUCUGUUCUGUUUUUUUUUGUUGUUGUUUGUUUUGAUAGCAUUAAUUUCUGCUCUAAUCUUUAUUAUUUCCAGUCUUCUGCUGGUUUGGGGUUUUAUUUGCUGUUCUUUAAGGUGUAAGGUUAGGUUGUGUAUCUGAGAUCUUUCUUCCUUCUUUAGGAAGGCCUGGAUUGCUGUAUAUUUUCCUUUUAUGACCGCCUUUCUUGUGUCCCAGAGGUUUUGGGUUAUGGUGCUUUCAUUUUCAUUGGCUUCCAAUACUUUUUAAUUUCCUCUUCAACUUUUUGGUUAGCCCAUUCAUUCUUUAGUAGGAUGUUCUUUAGUCUCCAAGUAUUCGUUACCUUUCCAAAUUUUUUCUUGUGGUUGAUUUCGAGUUUCAUAGCGUUGUGGUAUGAAAAUAUGCACAGUAUGAUCUCAAUCUUUUUGUGCUUGCUGAGAGCUGAUUUGUGUCCCAGUAUGUGGUCUAUUCUGGAGGAUGUCCAUGUACACUGGAGAAGAAUGUAUAUUCUGCUGCUUUAGGAUGAAAUGUUCUGAAUAUAUCUGUUAGGUCCAUCUGGUCCAGUGUGUCAUUCAAAGCCAUGGUUUCCUUGUUGAUAUUUUGAUUAGAUGAUAUGUCCAUUGUUGUAAGUGGGGUGUUGAAGUCUCCUACUAUUAUGGUAUUACUAUGGAUGAGUUUCUUUAUGUUUGUGAUUAAUUGAUUUAUAUAUUUGGGUGCUUUCACAUUUGGCACAUAAAUGUUUACAAUUGUUAUGCCUUCUUGGUGGAUAGACCCCUUGAUUAUGAUAUAAUGCCCUUCUGCAUCUCUUGAUACAGUCUUUAUUUUAAAGACUAGAUUGUUAUAAGUAUGGCUACUCCGACUUUCUUUUGUUGACCAUUAGCAUGAUGGAUGCUUCUCCAUCCCCUUUUUUUCAAUCUGAAGGUGUCUUUAGGUUUAAAGUGGGUCUCUUGUAAACAGCAUCUAGAUGGAUCUUCUUUUCCUAUCCAUCUGUUACUCUGUGUCUUUUGAUUGGGGCACUGAGUCCACUGACAUUUGGAGUGAGUACUGAAAGAUAUGAAUUUAUUGCCAUUAUGUUGCUUGUAGAGUUGGAGUUUCUGGUGGUAUUCUCUGGUACUUUCUAGUCUUUAUUGCUUUAGGUGUUUAUUUAUUUGUUGUUGUUGGUGGUGUUGUUGUUUUCAUUUUUUCUCCCCUCAGAGAGUCCCCCUUAAAAUUUCUUGCAGGGCUGGUUUGGUGGUCACCAACUCCUUUAAUUUUUGUUUGUCUGGAAAAAUUUUAAUCUCUCCUUUUAUUUUGAAUGACAGCCUUGCUGGAUAAAGAAUUCUUGGCUAUAUAUUUUUCUGAUUCAGCAUAUGGAAUAUAUCCUGCCAUUCCUUUCCGGCCUGCCAAGUUUCUGUGGAUGGGUCAGCUGCAAACCUGAUCUGUCUUCCCUUGUAGGUUAAGGACUUUUUUCCCUUGCUGCUUUCAUGAUUCUUUCCUUGCUUGAGUGUUUUGUGAAUUUGACUAUGCUAUGCCUUGUUGAUGGUUGGUUUUUGUUAAAUCUAAUGGAGUCCUCUCUGCUUCCUGGAUUUUGAUGUCUGUAUCUUUCCCCAGGUUAGGAAAGUUUUCUGCUAUGAUUUUCUCACAUAAGCCUUCUACCCCUUUUUCUCUCUCUUCCUCUUCUGGUACCCCUAUUAUUCUGAUGUUGUUCCUUUUUAAUGAUUCAUUGAUUUCUCUAACUUUUAAAUACUGCUCUUUUGCCUUAAUCUCCCUCUUUUUUUCGGCUUCAUUAGUCUCUGUAAGUUUGUCCUAUAUAUCACUGAUUCUCUGUUCUGCCUCAUCCAUCCUUGCCGCCUUGUCCUCCAUUCAAGAUUGCAGCUCAGUUAUGGCAUUUUUUAUUUCAUCCUGACUAGCUUUUACUUCUUUUAUCUCCACAGAAAGGGUUUCUAAUCUAUUUUCAACUCCAGCUAGUAUAUCGUGAUUCUAAAUUCUGGUUCAGACAUCUUACUUGUAUCUGUGUUGGUUAAGUUCCUGGCUGUCAUUUCUUCCUACUCUUUCUUUUGAGAUGAAUUCCUUCAUUUUUCAUUUUGAAGGGAGAAAGGAAUUAAUGAGGCAAAAAAAUUAAAAUUAAAAAAAAUUAAAAUUAAAAAAUAAAAAACAAACACACACACACAAAAUUGAAUAAAUGAUGCUAGAUCUAGGUAUAUUUUGGUCUGGGUGUUGGAAGGAGCUUGAUAGAUUAGAGAAAAAAGGGGAAAGGAAAAAGGAAAAGAAAAAGGAAGUCAUUUGACAAUUUGAAAAAAUGAAUACAGUGAAGUAGACUGAAAUGAAAUGAUGGAAGUAAAAUAGAAUUUGAAAAAAGUUACACAAAAGUAAAAAAUAUAGUAGAAAAACAUUAAAGAAAAUAAUUUUUAAUAAAAAUUGAAAAUAAAAAUGAAUUUUUUCUCUUUCUGUAUUCAAGAAAAGAAACAAAAAGAAAAAAAAGAAAGAAAAUUGAAUAGAUGGACCAGUGAACAGACUGAAAUACGACUGAAAUUACUUGGUUUUCCCCUAGAAGUCAAACUAUGAAGCGCUUUAUAAUCCAUAAACUAAGAAGGUGGAGAGACUUGUGUUUGUCAAGAGUGAGGUUGGCCCAGUUGGGCGGGGCUUAGUGUAAUGGCUCUGUUCUCCACCAGAUGGCGCUGCUUAGCUUACUGGGGUGAAUUGUUGCGCUUGUAGGUGCAUAUGCGCAUGCGCGGGAGGGGUGAAAAUGGCGUCACCCAGCUACCCAGUCUCCAGUAUAGGAACUCUGUUCUCCCCGAUCAGCAAUGGCACACCCAUCCUUUGUUUUUGGCUUCCAUCCACUGCUUGCUUUUACACAGUCCGUGACCAAGCCCCAUGCGGCACCUUCCUCCUGAGUUUUGUCUCAGAUGCAGCUGUUUUUCCCAACCUCUUACUUCUGAGGGACUGCGGCUAUGACACGUUCUGCCCCUCUGCAGGAGGGUGUUACCAACCAAUGGCCGGGUGCCUGAUGCAGCCAGGAAAGUUCAUGUUAUUGGUGCUGCAGCCGAUGCCCAGAGACUGCAUCCAGGUGCCAGCCCGCCCCAGAAAAAGUGCGGGAGACAGUGUAGCAGCAGUGUUUCAGGGACUAUGGAAAAAUCACAACACAUAUCUGGCACCAGGCUUUACCCUUAAGGACCUUGUUCCAGCACCAGCAAAUGUGGUUGUUCUCCUGGGUCCACGGGGGCCCUGCCUUUGGGGGACCCGCACAGCCUUUACCAGGUGUCCUCCCAGCAGGGGAACCACCUCUCCCUGUGUGGCCUGAAGAACCCCGGACUCCACUCUGCUCCUGAGGAUUCGCCCUUCCCACCAGAGCACCGUCAGGAAACUGCAUUGCAAAAUAUUUGUCUCCUGUCCACAGAGGUGAAUGCAUUCAAGAAAAAGACAAAAGCAAAGAAGAUAUGGGUCUUCCAAGGAUGAUAGUUGAUCAUACUCUCCUGAGAACUGUGGAUGUCAAUUAGGGCUUUGACCAGGUGUGGCCAAGGGGAUGCCUCUGUUCCAGUCUUCACCUCCUGCACAUGACAUUUUUCUCAUCCAUCCAGAUUCUCCAUGUUUACGAUGCUCUUUACCUUCUGUCCUAAAUUGUUGUUUACUAUGUUUUCCUGCUGCUAAAUUCCUUACUGCAUUUCUCCCUGGAGGAAGGCUGACAAGUCGGCUCAUGCCCACUUUUGUGCAUUUGUGUAAUGUGUUAACUGGCAUGGGUCACCGGAGAAUCGUGGAGUCUGAGAACCAGGGAAGGUAGAGAGCAACUAUUCUGGACACUUGAACAGCAGUCAUCUAACCUGAGGGAGGAGGGACAGGAACGUGAUGGAGAAAGGUGGUCAUGAUCUCAUCAGUCAGUCAUGCUUGGAGUUACUGCCAUUUCAUAAGUGUAUGGUCUUGACCCUGUCUGCCACUAAUGCUAACAUCAGACUCAACAGUGAGUAGUUGAAAGUGUUCCUUCUAAGAUCAAGACUAAGACAAGGGUGCCCGCUAUCACCAUCUCCAUUCAACCCAUCACUGGAAGUCCUGGCGAGAACAGUCAGACAAGACAAAGAAAUAAACAACAUCCAAACUGGAAAGGAAGAAGUAAAAUUAUCUCUGUUAUAUGAGAUAUAUA